rnacentral:rRNA from 1 species
AGUGAACGCUGGCGGUAGGCCUAACACAUGCAAGUCGAACGGCAGCACAGUAAGAGCUUGCUCUUACGGGUGGCGAGUGGCGGACGGGUGAGGAAUACAUCGGAAUCUACUUUUACGUGGGGGAUAACGUAGGGAAACUUACGCUAAUACCGCAUACGACCUACGGGUGAAAGCAGGGGAUCUUCGGACCUUGCGCGAUUGAAUGAGCCGAUGUCGGAUUGGCUAGUUGGCGGGGUAAAGGCCCACCAAGGCGACGAUCCGUAGCUGGUCUGAGAGGAUGAUCAGCCACACUGGAACUGAGACACGGUCCAGACUCCUACGGGAGGCAGCAGUGGGGAAUAUUGGACAAUGGGCGCAAGCCUGAUCCAGCCAUACCGCGUGGGUGAAGAAGGCCUUCGGGUUGUAAAGCCCUUUUGUUGGGAAAGAAAAGCAGCAGGUUAAUACCCCGCUGUUCUGACGGUACCCAAAGAAUAAGCACCGGCUAACUUCGUG